rnacentral:rRNA from 1 species
UUAAAUGAGAGUUUGAUCCUGGCUCAGGACGAACGCUGGCGGCGUGCCUAAUACAUGCAAGUAGAACGCACAGUUUAUACCGUAGCUUGCUACACC